rnacentral:rRNA from 1 species
AUGGAUUUUAUCACAGGAUUACCCAGGACUCGUUCAGGCUAUGACUCGAUUUGGGUUGUAGUCGAUCGUUUGACAAAGGUAGCACAUUUCAUUCCAAUGAAGACCACUUACACCAGUGCUAAGUUGGCCAAGAUAUAUAUGACCAGGAUCGUAUGUCUGCAUGGAGUUCCAAGGAGCAGUAUAUCAGAUAGAGGAACCCAGUUUACCUCAAAGUUCUGGAAUCAGUUGAACGAAACUUUGGGUACCAAAUUAGAGUUCAACACGACUUUUCAUCCGCAGACAGAUGGACAUACGGAGAGAGUUAAUCAGAUUCUGGAAGAUAUG